rnacentral:rRNA from 1 species
GCGAACGGGUGAGUAACACGUGGGCAAUCUGCCCUUCACUCUGGGACAAGCCCUGGAAACGGGGUCUAAUACCGGAUACUGACCCUUGCAGGCAUCUGCGAGGUUCGAAAGCUCCGGCGGUGAAGGAUGAGCCCGCGGCCUAUCAGCUUGUUGGUGAGGUAAUGGCUCACCAAGGCGACGACGGGUAGCCGGCCUGAGAGGGCGACCGGCCACACUGGGACUGAGACACGGCCCAGACUCCUACGGGAGGCAGCAGUGGGGAAUAUUGCACAAUGGGCGAAAGCCUGAUGCAGCGACGCCGCGUGAGGGAUGACGGCCUUCGGGUUGUAAACCUCUUUCAGCAGGGAAGAAGCGAAAGUGACGGUACCUGCAGAAGAAGCGCCGGCUAACUACGUGCCAGCAGCCGCGGUAAUACGUAGGGCGCAAGCGUUGUCCGGAAUUAUUGGGCGUAAAGAGCUCGUAGGCGGCUUGUCACGUCGGUUGUGAAAGCCCGGGGCUUAACCCCGGGUCUGCAGUCGAUACGGGCAGGCUAGAGUUCGGUAGGGGAGAUCGGAAUUCCUGGUGUAGCGGUGAAAUGCGCAGAUAUCAGGAGGAACACCGGUGGCGAAGGCGGAUCUCUGGGCCGAUACUGACGCUGAGGAGCGAAAGCGUGGGGAGCGAACAGGAUUAGAUACCCUGGUAGUCCA